CGGCCGCCCGCCAGGAAGCUGAGGCCAGGCUGAAAGCCGAGGAGGAGAGGAAGCAGCUAGAGGGUCAGCUGCAGGGCGAGGCUCUGCGCCAGCAGAUGGAGGAGCUGAAGCAGAAGGAGAUGGAGGCCACCAAACUGAAGAAGGAACAGGAGAACCUGCUGAAGCAGCACUGGGAACUGGAAAGGCUGGACGACGAAAGGAAGCAGAUGGCCAUCGUCCGGCGCAAGACAGAGCUAGGGCGCAUCUUGCGACAUCAGUACAAUGCGCAGCUCAACAGGCGCACCCAGCAGAUCCAGGAGGAGCUGGAGGCAGAUGGGCGGAUCCUGCAGGCACUGCUGGAGAAGGACAAUGAGCUGCAGCAAGUCGAACUGGCCAGGCGGGAGCAAGCCAUGGCCGAUGCGGCCCAGAUGAAGCAGGUCAUCGAGGAGCAGCUGCAGCUGGAGAAGGCACGGGAGGCAGAGCUGCAGCAGCUG
rnacentral:lncRNA from 1 species